rnacentral:rRNA from 1 species
AUUGAACGAUGGCGGCAGGCCUAACACAUGCAAGUCGAACGAGUGGCGGACGGGUGAGUAAUGUAUGGGAAACUGCAUGAUGGAGGGGAAUAACUACUGGAAACGGUAGCUACUACCGCAUACCCUCGGAAGUGCCCAGAUGGGAGUAGAUAGUAGGUGGGGUAACGGCUCAACUAGGCGACGAUCCCUAGCUGGUCUGAGAGGAUGACCAGCCACACGGGAACGGAGACACGGUCCAGACUCCUACGUGAGGCAGCAGUGGUGAAUAUUGCACAAUGGGCGCAAGCCUGAUGCAGCCAUGCCGCGUGUAUGAAGAAGGCCUUCGGGUUGUAAAGUACUUUCAGCGGGGAGGCGUUACCCGCAGAAGAAGCACCGGCUAACUCCGUGCCAGCCGCCGCGGUAAUUC